CAGUCCCUCGGCCCCAUGGGGAGCGAGGUGCCCCUCCGGCGCCGGGAGACUCCGAGAAAGCGGCGGCGGCGCGCGAGCGCGGGGGGGCGCGGCCACCCGGCCGGCGUCCAGUGGCGGACUCCACACAUUCCUGCCCAUGGCUCGUCUCACCCAGUGCGUCUUGGAGCGUGUUCGGGGUCAGCGCUGGACGUCUUCCUCUCAUUUUAACAGCGGCGUAUCGCGCAGUUAUUGAACCAGACCCGCACGGGUGGGCGUGCAGGUUCCUUCUGGCCUUUUGUAUUGACAUAAUGCUGCAUAAUCAUGCUGGAACUAUGCGUUUGGACAUGUAUAUCUGCUGAAUAAAAUGUUUGGCCGUUGAAUUACUGGGUCAUAGGUAGGAUGCCUUUUUUAAUUCUGACGGAUCUUGAGAAAUUGCCCUCUGAACAGGUGAUUCUCAUUGUCACUCUGACCACUGACGGCAUGUGAAAGUAUCUAUUUCCCCACGCUCCACCAACACAAUGUGCUGUCUGACAGGGUGCCUGAGAAAGAGGAUGGAUUCCGGGGGCCCUAGAGAAGUGUGGUCCAGGAGGAAGAGUACUAGGAGAUAAUGGAAUGUGAGAACUUGGACUUUGCAAGGACUCUGGAUUUCGCUGCGUGUGAGCUGAGCAAACUUCGCAGGUUUUUGAGGAGAGGAAGUGAGGCGGUCCACCUGGAUGGCAAUAGGAUCCGUUGGCUGCUGUCUUGAGAAGAAACUGGGUGCCAAGGGCUAUUUUAGGGAGAUGCAAGUGGAAGCCAUUCUAAUGGCCCAGGCAACAGAUGACAAUGGUUUGCACCAGAGAAAACGGACAUCUUCUGAAACAAGCCAGGACCCUGAGCCAGCAUCGCCACUCACCCCAAGCAACCCAAGAUGGACACCCGGCAUGCCUCCUAUCUCUGGAGAGGUCACCUCGGGGAGUGGAAUGACUGGAUGUCACCAAGCGCCCAGCCCCCAGGCUCUGCCCUGCUCGCCCUUCUCUCCGCCUGGCUGUUUUCAGUUUGGAAAGCCCUCGGCACCAGGUAGGGAUUGCACCCGAGCCACCGUCGUCUGUCCGGUCUUUCCCGUACGCCCCACAAGACGAAGCGUCCUGUUCUAAGGCCAUAGGCUACUCCGACUGCUCGCGAGGAGGCCUCAGUCCCAGGGAGACCCAGCCCUGCCCACGCUGUGUUAAACAGUGAUGGUUCUUUGCCCUCAGAAAACGUGGUAGAAAGAUGAAGAACGGGUAUAACAGUUUGACCCCAAAUUUGAGUCUAUCCGCUUCAAGAUUCCUGGCACCACUGGUGUCCUUGAAAAAGUGAGAGAAUCCUUGAAAAUGCACAUCUUGGCCAGAUGGGAGAAUGAUUUCUGCAGGAAAGACUGACAAAUAAAGGUAAAAUCCUUAGUUGCCCCCUCCCCACAGAUACCCAGAAGAGGCUGCUUUAAAGACCUUGAGGGGAAAACAUUAAAAACUUGGAGACAAGAUGUCUAGUGCCCACAGCAAGCCUCCAGCAGCAAAAGAGCGAACUCCUCAGCUUGGAGGCGGUGGCCUUCCUCCUCCACUGCAGCACCUGGUGUCACCUGCAGGAGACCUGGCACCAGAGACUGGGCUCCAGAUAGAGUCAGCGGACAGGAGGUUUGGCAGGGAGUGCGCAAGGAAUCAGCACCUGCAGAAGAGAAAGGAAGAGAAGGGCGCGGGACUGGGCCUCAGCCAGCCCUCUGGAAAGUUCUAGACAUAGAAGGACCCUUCUAAGCUGUUCUGGGUUGGUGUGAGAGGACUGCGCCUUUCCACCCCAUGAUAAGCAACCUCUGGGUGAGGGCCCCCUGAGAAGGGACUAUGACCUCGGGUAGGGCAGCUCUCUUUGGCUGAGCUUGUCUAGGACGGGGACUGACAGACAAGGGUUGUCUGCUGGAGCACUGCCAGCACCUGGCCCAAUAAUGCCUUCCUUCCUGAGGGAGGAUCUGUGUGGCUCAUCACAGCAUCCGCCGUCUGGCAACCCUAGACCUAAAUCCAUCCCUGUGGGUUGGUAAGUGAAAAAAGGCAGACACGAAAGGUCACAUAGUGUAUGAAUCAGUUUACGUGAAAUAUGCGGAACAGGUAAUCCACAGAGACGGGACGCCGAGUGGUUGUUGCCAAGGCAGGAGGGAGGGAGAAUGCGGAACAACUGCUUAAUGGAUACAGGGUUUCCUUCUGGGAAUAUUUUGGAAGUGGACAGAGGUGGUGGUUGCACAGCACUGUGAAUGUACUGAAUGACACUGAAUGGUUCAUCGAAAAAUGGUUAAUUUUAUGUCAUGUCAAUUUCAUGCAAAGUUUUUUAAAUGGAUUAAAAAAUCCCUCUUCCUUGGAAGCAGUCUGUUAUAUUAAAAUUAACCCUCUAUGGUGGGAGCCUUCACUUUGGAGUAAAGGGAAAUUAUCAAAAUGUUGUUACUCUGUCCUUGGUGUAAACUUAGGUUGUACAAGGCAAGUUGGGUGAAACCGUCUGUAUUUAAAAUCAAGCAUCCUAUUCAAGUAGCAGACGCUAAAUAGAUACAAAAUUGUGUUUAACUACAAGCAACUCAUGUAAACGUGGGAGGUAAUUCCUGUUUACAAGUAAAGAAUAUUUUCCCUCAAAAGGAAUUUGAAGUGUUGUGAUUCAUACAGGCUUAAAAGUUAGUUGAAACAAAAUAUGACGUUCAGGGGCCAGCCCAGUGGCGUAGUGGUUAAGCUCGCACACUCUACUUCAGCGG